GGAGACCCGGCUGAAGAGGCAGCGGCGGUGUUAGCGUUGGGGGCGGGGCAGGAAAGGAUGGGUGCCUGCUCUACCUGCGCUGAGGGAGGAGGCCAGUAGAGUGGACGAAGAGAGGCACCGAGCCCCACAGGAGACGAGAACAAGGCCCAGCCAGGGUUUGAGGGGAGAUCACUUACCCAAGGUCACACAGCAGAGGUGGCAGAACUAGGAUUAGGACAGACAGAGACGCCUUUUGAGCCUCCCAGGAAUAAUUCCUCCCAGGAAUCCCUUGUACUUGGAAUCUGCCCUUAAACUCAG
ensembl:lncRNA